AUGAACGCUAGCGACAGGCUUAACACAUGCAAGUCGAGGGGCAGCGGGGGUAGCAAUACCCGCCGGCGACCGGCGCACGGGUGAGUAACGCGUAUGCAACUUACCUAUCAGAGGGGGAUAACCCGGCGAAAGUCGGACUAAUACCGCAUGAAGCAGGGGUCCCGCAUGGGGAUAUUUGCUAAAGAUUCAUCGCUGAUAGAUAGGCAUGCGUUCCAUUAGGCAGUUGGCGGGGUAACGGCCCACCAAACCGACGAUGGAUAGGGGUUCUGAGAGGAAGGUCCCCCACAUUGGUACUGAGACACGGACCAAACUCCUACGGGAGGCAGCAGUGAGGAAUAUUGGUCAAUGGGCGUAAGCCUGAACCAGCCAAGUCGCGUGAGGGAUGAAGGUUCUAUGGAUCGUAAACCUCUUUUAUAAGGGAAUAAAGUGCGGGACGUGUCCCGUUUUGUAUGUACCUUAUGAAUAAGGAUCGGCUAACUCCGUGCCAGCAGCCGCGGUAAUACGGAGGAUCCGAGCGUUAUCCGGAUUUAUUGGGUUUAAAGGGUGCGUAGGCGGCCUUUUAAGUCAGCGGUGAAAGUCUGUGGCUCAACCAUAGAAUUGCCGUUGAAACUGGGGGGCUUGAGUAUGUUUGAGGCAGGCGGAAUGCGUGGUGUAGCGGUGAAAUGCUUAGAUAUCACGCAGAACCCCGAUUGCGAAGGCAGCCUGCCAAGCCAUGACUGACGCUGAUGCACGAAAGCGUGGGGAUCAAACAGGAUUAGAUACCCUGGUAGUCCACGCAGUAAACGAUGAUCACUAGCUGUUUGCGAUACAGUGUAAGCGGCACAGCGAAAGCGUUAAGUGAUCCACCUGGGGAGUACGCCGGCAACGGUGAAACUCAAAGGAAUUGACGGGGGCCCGCACAAGCGGAGGAACAUGUGGUUUAAUUCGAUGAUACGCGAGGAACCUUACCCGGGUUUGAACGCAUUCGGACCGAGGUGGAAACACCUUUUCUAGCAAUAGCCGUUUGCGAGGUGCUGCAUGGUUGUCGUCAGCUCGUGCCGUGAGGUGUCGGCUUAAGUGCCAUAACGAGCGCAACCCUUGCCACUAGUUACUAACAGGUGAUGCUGAGGACUCUGGUGGGACUGCCAGCGUAAGCUGCGAGGAAGGCGGGGAUGACGUCAAAUCAGCACGGCCCUUACAUCCGGGGCGACACACGUGUUACAAUGGCGUGGACAAAGGGAAGCCACCUGGCGACAGGGAGCGAAUCCCCAAACCACGUCUCAGUUCGGAUCGGAGUCUGCAACCCGACUCCGUGAAGCUGGAUUCGCUAGUAAUCGCGCAUCAGCCAUGGCGCGGUGAAUACGUUCCCGGGCCUUGUACACACCGCCCGUCAAGCCAUGGGAGCCGGGGGUACCUGAAGUCCGUAACCGAAAGGAUCGGCCUAGGGUAAAACUGGUGACUGGGGCU
rnacentral:rRNA from 1 species